AUAAAUAUUUCCUUUUCAAAAUUCCUGAUCGUCGUCCUUUCAAAUCCCAUCAUUAUUUUCUUCCUUCCUUAACUCUUCGUCUUCCUCUCAUCUUUAAAGAACCAACCCUUUUCAUUCUCUUCUCUUCAUCUCUGUACAAUGACUCAAACUUGCUCUAUGGCCUCUUUGAAAAAUGUUAUUGAGAAUCCCUACGGAUCUAUUGAAAUUGAUUUUUUCUCUCUCCUCUGACUCAUUUGAAGCAGCAGAGUCAUACGUCAAACCCUUUUCCUCUAAGAAACAACCCUCUUCCAUCAAGAAGAAGGAGAAAAAGAAAGCCAGAUCGAAUUUCUCAGGAUCAUUUAGUCAAUAGACGACAUGCCAAACUUUUAGGGAUCGAAUACAAGAAAAAAUUUGAUGCCUUCAAGAAAUGACCUGUUGUGCUUGGGCGAGUAGUCAACUUAGAGCAGCUGGAGAAAUCUCAUUGUCCGCAAAGGGGGAGAAAAAUGAGCACAUAAAUAAGCACAGAGUCAGGAGGAGCUAAAAGCAUGAAAGAAACAAGUCAGGGGGAGCAGAAAAUAAAAACAGGGAAAUUGAAUGCUCAUCUUGUACUAUACAUUUGCAUUAUCAAAAAAGGAAGAGAUUGAUAACACCAUAAUUAUUUUGUCUAAUGACUAAUGAAUGACUUUCUAUUACAGGAGUAACCAACAGGAUUAGCUAACACGGAUGUGUGACUAACUAUGAUCAAAAAGGAAAAAAAAUGUCUAUAUGGAAGGAAGAUCAAUCAAGAAAGAUUCACACGAGAUUGCUGUUGAGCCAAAGGAAAGAAGAUUCCAGGUGGCAAGAAGAUCAAUCAAGGAUAAAUCAAGCUCCAUGAAAUCAAAGUGUAGUCUUGUUGGAAAACAACCCUGCAAUAGAGAAGAAGCAGCGAAAGAGAAAAUGAAGAAAGAAGAAGAAAAUGAAGAAAGAAGAAGCAGCAAACAGAAGAAUAAAGAAGAACAAGGAAGCUGAAGAGUUUUAACUCUUCAGCCUUUCAUUUUGACGCACAGGUGGCAGCCUCCCAUCCACAUAAAUUCCCACAGUUGGAAUUUGAACUCAUACAAUUAAAUAUAGUUAUGCCCAUAUAAUUAUGGGCAAGUAGAAUAAAAUUGUACAAAUAAGACAAAUGAGAUCCAUGCCUUCUUGUCUCUAUUACAACUAUUAUGUAUCUCUAUAUAAGCAAAUGUACAUGUUAUGAAUAAAUACACAGAAAGUUUUCUUUUUCA